CACCUGAGGUAAGAGGGAGGAGGCUACGCCCUCUUCCCCCCCUUGCAGCUGCGGGACGCUUGGGACAGUGUAUAACUGGACCAAGCUGCCUGUGGCCAAGGCUAGGGGACUCUUUUUCCCCCCCACUGCAUUGAGGCUGGUGGGGGGUGGAUUUUAAGGCUCAGCAUUGAAGCAGAGCCAAGUGGACGGGCUGCUGAUGAAACAGCUUGGAGCCAGGGAAAGGAAUCCCAGGCGAAAUCGGAGACAGACUGAAGAGAGAGGCCCAGAGGAUGUCUCUGCCGUGAUUUAAACGCAGGACAGCCGAAAACCCGGAGGAGGAAUCAACAUUCCAGGACGCGUACAUUGAUAAGCUAAACAACACUGCAGCAGCCUACGAACCGAGGUAUGAGACUGAGAGAUCACACAGCAGACCGAGGAGAAAGGACUCAAAGCUACUUUCUUGGACUUCGUGAGGAGGAAAAACUGCAACAAAACAGCUGAAGGUGGGUCAUAACAGACUGUUCACAAAAGGUUCAGAGAACAUCCUACAAACUGCGCAGGGAAACAGAUAUGAGUGUUCACUGGAGACAUUUAGCUCCACAGUUGGAUAAACACUGCCCAGCGUAUGAUCCAAUACAGAGGGAAAUUUGGAGGGGAGUUGGACUAGAUGAUCUUUGAAGGCUCUUUCCAAUCCAAAGCAUUCAUUGAAUUUAUGGACCCUAUACAAGUAACACACAUCGGAGCAUCUUGCAGGCAGUCUUACUGGAAAAAAAGAGUAAGUUCUAAAAGACAACACCUCACUUUGCAAGACAACCAAUCUACCUAAAAAUCUGAUCUGCAAAGGACCUUUUUCCAUCACUGCUGCUAGGCAGAAAAGUUAUAAAUAUGAAAUGAAGCCUGAUUUUUCAAUUUCUCAGUCCUACUCUGUGCAGAUAGAGCACCACCAAAACCUGCCUCCUAAACUGCAGGUCACAGAAGGCCAGCAAGCUCCACCUAAAAUGUGUGAAAUUUGUUUGGAUGUGUAAGUUCAGUUGUCAGACAUGUUUUACAGUGGAAGUAAGUGAGACUGAUGCCAGAGUUUACUCCAAGUGAAGAAAAAAAUGAAUCUUGCAACAGAAGAGAAGGGACAAACCUAAACCUGCAAAGACAUCUAAAAGGGUUUGAGUACACUCAAAGCAGGACUAAAGAGCUGCUCCACUCUUUCAAGCUAACUCUGAACUGUCAAAUUUAGACAGGAAGUUUGAAAUUCUAUUCUAUUAUCCUUAAAAAUGAACAGUGGCUAGACUAAAAUACAAAGAGCAGCUAGCCAGAAUUUCUGGCCAUUUUAAGUAUCUACAAUAACCACUCGCACCCAAGCCUGCCUGUAUAUGGCAUAUAAAAUAACAUGAAUCUCAUCAGCUCAGUAUCUGUCUCUAUAUGACAGAAUCUUUUAUUUUUUUAUUGACACUUGACAUUUAUCAUACUGUUUGGAUAGAUCCUGGUGACAAUUUGCAAAGAUAUUUUCUGGGCUUUCUGUCAGUAUUUCAUGUUAGCACAGCAGACCCCAUUAACCCAGACUCAGAAAAAACAUCCCUUGAAUGCAAAAGAGAAACAAAGUAAGUUCUUUUUAAUUAACUCUACCAAUUUUUCAAAAUAUUUUCAAGUCAAUCCAAGGGACAUGAAAAUCUAAAGCAGUGGUUUGUAUGUUAUUUACCAAUGCUGACUUUUAUAGAAACUCAAACAAGUCAGCUCAUUUUAUCCAACAACAGAAAUGUAUUUCCAAGAGCUUUGAUUUAUAAUAGGUUCCUUUGAUUUUUCACCUUCAUUUCAAUGACAGGGAAACUACAUAAGUGAAUUACAGUUAGCAUGGGGCAAUGUUUGUGUAAAUGGUCUUCACACAAGCAAAAAUCCUACUAUAAGAAAAGUCAGCAAAUGAAGUGAGAUUGGAAGAUAGAACAGAGAGUAAGUUCUAAAAAAAUGUUUGGGGUUUUCUUUCAAAAACAUAGUAUUUCGGAUGAAAAAUACUAAGUUCACAGCUAGUUCUAGCUAACAAGAAGGUGGGACUUAAUAUUUAGUAAAAUUUUAGUAUAUUUAGUGGACUCAGAGACACAGAGAAAGUAAGAAAUAUCUCAUGCUUUAUCUCAUUACAUGUUUAAUUAUUUUAAGAUGAUAAGUUCUUUUUUCUUGAUUGGUCAGUGUUCAUCACUGAGGGAAAGAUUUGCUGUGUUAAAGCAUGAUAGUCUUCUAGGUGAACGCAGGAGAGAAGAUCUUUCUAUUUGUGGUGGUCAGAAGCGUUACUUUAAAGCUUUCAGCAUUUCAGUACUCUCAGUAUUCAAUUUAAAAAUAUAUGUAUGUAAGUACUGUUAUUUAUGCAAUUAUAUGUCAUUUAGUUCAAUAAAUAUGCAUUCACAGGAAUGAUGACAUAAUUAAGUCUCACAAAUUUUGUAGAACCUCAGUCACUAUACUGUCACAGUCAAAAGACAUACGUUACUGAUUCAUUUUGCCUAACCACACUUUACCAGAACACUCACAAGAAGAUUUACCAAUUUUUUUAUGGAUAGGUUGUCACAAUACUUGUUCACACCACUAGAUUUCAUGGAACUUCUGGUAUAGGUGUAGGUUACAACACUAAAUUCUGAUCUGUACAGCUUUGAGCCCUCAGAAAAUGUAAAAAAAAGAGGUUCUCUAUUUUACCCAGAAAGUAUAUCAGCCAUGAUGUAUACUGUGUUUAUAACUUCUACAGAAUAUUCUUCCCUUCUUUAACUGUGUGUAAUUUGUUAAAAAUACUCCAAAACUCCCAUCUUUUUCUACUUUUCAAAAACCUACUGUGAUGGCUCCCCCCUCUUUCCCACCAGGGAAGUAAUCCACUAAAUGCUUUCAAGGUAUCCAAGAACAAGAAAAGCAAAGCAGCAUUUACUGUUUUACAAGUCUACAAAAAAACCCUAACUGGUCUUUGGCUGAAAUUCCUAGUUUUCUUUAAAUCCUCCAUGGCUUUUGAAUUUACUAUUUUCCAAAAGACUCCAUCUCUUUAUUUUCUGACAU